GGGGGGUUGUUGGGUGAAGACUUGGCUCCUCUUCAAUUUCAUCACAUAAAAAUACAACUACAGAAGACGACAACAGUCUUCGUAAUCAACAUGAGUUGAUUGCCUAAUAGAUAUUUGGUAAAUCAUCCAGCGUGAAUCCAAAAGAAGAAUUAAGGUCAGAUGUCUUUUCCCUUGCAAAGGAUUUUGAACUGGCAAAGGUCAAUAGGAUGGUUUAUCCAAUUAUUCUUCCAC
rnacentral:misc_RNA from 1 species